CUUGCUCCCUGAUGUUAGCGGCGGACGGGUGAGUAACACGUGGGUAACCUGCCUGUAAGACUGGGAUAACUCCGGGAAACCGGGGCUAAUACCGGAUGCUUGUUUGAACCGCAUGGUUCAAACAUAAAAGGUGGCUUCGGCUACCACUUACAGAUGGACCCGCGGCGCAUUAGCUAGUUGGUGAGGUAAUGGCUCACCAAGGCAACGAUGCGUAGCCGACCUGAGAGGGUGAUCGGCCACACUGGGACUGAGACACGGCCCAGACUCCUACGGGAGGCAGCAGUAGGGAAUCUUCCGCAAUGGACGAAAGUCUGACGGAGCAACGCCGCGUGAGUGAUGAAGGUUUUCGGAUCGUAAAGCUCUGUUGUUAGGGAAGAACAAGUACCGUUCGAAUAGGGCGGUACCUUGACGGUACCUAACCAGAAAGCCACGGCUAACUACGUGCCAGCAGCCGCGGUAAUACGUAGGUGGCAAGCGUUGUCCGGAAUUAUUGGGCGUAAAGGGCUCGCAGGCGGUUUCUUAAGUCUGAUGUGAAAGCCCCCGGCUCAACCGGGGAGGGUCAUUGGAAACUGGGGAACUUGAGUGCAGAAGAGGAGAGUGGAAUUCCACGUGUAGCGGUGAAAUGCGUAGAGAUGUGGAGGAACACCAGUGGCGAAGGCGACUCUCUGGUCUGUAACUGACGCUGAGGAGCGAAAGCGUGGGGAGCGAACAGGAUUAGAUACCCUGGUAGUCCACGCCGUAAACGAUGAGUGCUAAGUGUUAGGGGUUUCCGCCCCUUUAGUGCUGCAGCUAACGCAUUAAGCACUCUCGCCUGGGGAGUACGGUCGCAAGACUGAAACUCAAGGAAUUGACGGGGGGCCCGCACAAGCGGUGGAGCAUGUGGUUUAAUUUCGAAGCAACGCGAAGAACCUUUACCAGGUCUUGACAUCCCUCUUGACAAUCCUAGAGAUAGGACGUUCUCCUUUCGGGGGCAGAG
rnacentral:rRNA from 1 species